rfam:Anisakis simplex genome assembly, scaffold: ASIM_scaffold0001910
CCAACGGCCCUCUUUAGGGCCACCAAAAUCAUAAACCAAAACUCAU